rnacentral:rRNA from 1 species
GACGAACGCUGGCGGCGUGCUUAACACAUGCAAGUUGAACGAGAAUUUUUCGAGUGAUUUCUUCGGAAUGAUCAUGAAAAAGGAAAGUAGCGAACGGGUGAGUAACACGUGAGAAACCUGCCUUUCACAAAGGGAUAGCCUCGGGAAACCGGGAUUAAUACCUUAUGAAACCAAACACUCGCAUGAGAGAUUGGUUAAAGAUUUAUCGGUGUUAGAUGGUCUCGCGUCUGAUUAGCUAGUUGGUGGGAUACAAGCAUACCAAGGCAACGAUCAGUAGCCGGAUUGGGAGGUUGACCGGCCACACUUGAACUGAGACACGGUCCAGACUCCUACGGGAGGGAGCAGUGUGGUAUGUUGCACAAUGGAGGAAACUCUGAUGCAGCGACGCCGCGUGAGUGAUGAAGGUCUUCGGAUUGUAAAACUAUGUCCUUAGUGAAGAUAAUGACAGUAACUACGAAGCAAGCCCCGGCUAAAUACGUG